CCGCAAACCUUCCAGCGUGGCUGGGUCUGCUUGGUGACCCUGAUCAUUCCUGUUGUGUUUGCCAAAGCAGCCGCGGGACGGUUUGAGGCCUCACCCUGCUCUGAUUCCAGGGAGAGGUUAUAGAAAUCUCGGACAAGC